rnacentral:lncRNA from 1 species
GAGGAGGUAAUCAAUCUGAGUCCUCGCCGCCGAACUCUUGAAUGUGACCAAAUGCUCCUCCCCCUUCUGAAAUGUCGAGUUCGCAAUCAGAAGUUCGGAAGCCCUGGCGAAAUCAAGCAGUGACGUGCCUCCUCCGUUCCUAACCCCCAAAGCCCAAGCCACCGUGCAGCUCACCAUAACUACCAACAUCAACCCCAAUAUGACCAUUAAAGUCCCCUCCAAUAACUAACUUCUCAGAUUGGGG